rnacentral:rRNA from 1 species
GAACGAACGCUGGCGGCGCGCUUAACACAUUGCAAGUCGAACGAGAAUCUGCUGAAGGAGGAUUCGUCCAACGGAAGUAGAGGAAAGUGGCGGACGGGUGAGUAACGCGUGAGGAACCUGCCUUGAAGAGGGGGACAACAGUUGGAAACGACUGCUAAUACCGCAUGAAGCAUAGGGGUCGCAUGAUUCUUAUGCCGAAGAUUUAUCGCUUCAAGAUGGCCUCGCGUCUGAUUAGCUAGUUGGCGGGGUAAAGGCCCACCAAGGCGACGAUCAGUAGCCGGACUGAGAGGUUGAACGGCCACAUUGGGACUGAGAUACGGCCCAGACUCCUACGGGAGGCAGCAGUGGGGAAUAUUGGGCAAUGGGCGCAAGCCUGACCCAGCAACGCCGCGUGAAGGAAGAAGGCUUUCGUGUUGUAAACUUCUUUUAAGAGGGAAGAGCAGAAGACGGUACCUCUAGAAUAAGCCACGGCUAACUACGUGCCAGCAGCCGCGGUAAUACGUAGGUCACAAGCGUUGUCCGGAUUUACUGGGUGUAAAGGGCGUGCAGCCGGGUCUGCAAGUCAGAUGUGAAAUCCAUGGGCUCAACCCAUGAACUGCAUUUGAAACUGUAGAUCUUGAGUGUCGGAGGGGCAAUCGGAAUUCCUAGUGUAGCGGUGAAAUGCGUAGAUAUUAGGAGGAACACCAGUGGCGAAGGCGGAUUGCUGGACGAUAACUGACGGUGAGGCGCGAAAGUGUGGGGAGCAAACAGGAUUAGAUACCCUGGUAGUCCACACUGUAAACGAUGAAUACUAGGUGUGCGGGGACUGACCCCCUGCGUGCCGCAGUAAACACAAUAAGUAUUCCACCUGGGGAGUACGAUCGCAAGGUUGCAACUCAAAUGAAUUGACGGA